UGUACCUGUGCAACCAGUUGUGCUGAAUCGAUGUCAUUUUUUCCCCUAGGCCAGAGGCCACCCAGACCAGACAGAAGUGCUCUUACCGGGUGAAAGCACCAUACACCUUUCAACAUACGUUGGUGACUGAUAUAAGGGAAUGUCUUUCACCACCUUCUGUUUUACCGUGGAGGUAUAAUUGCAUUGCCUUGAACUGCAGUCUGAUAAAUAUCUAGGACUGCCAACCAGAAGGACAUGUAUGUUUCAGGCCCAGAUGAGAGAACAGCUGAUAAGGUGACAAGGUUGCUGUUCUGGACUUGAGUGCUUGAUCUUCCAUGAACUAGCCAAUCAUCCAGGUGCUUUAGUCCGGCUGCACAGCUUCCAUACUUCAGAUAGUGCAGCUGCAAAAGGAGAUUGCAUUCCACACAACGCUCAAGAAAAACAAGACUUUCCGUCCCAACAGCUGAAGUGAAGCACGUUGAGUGUGGGUUACCAUCUCUGUGGCUGAAUAGGUCAGCAAUGCACUUCAAUUAAACUGAAGAGUCUCUUCACAGCCAGGAAGAUGAGGAAAGAAUCUUAACCAAAAUCAUAACCAAAUCCACCACACAUUACAGUAAAAUCAAAAGACUCCCUAAAUCUGCAACACCCUCCCACUGGUGAGCUGCGGAUUUCCCUUGUUGAUAUUGGAUCCUGGUGGAAUAUCAGAAAAGGAACAUUGAUAAAAGAAACCAAUUUAGCAAAUUAGCCGCUCCUUAGACUCUCUGCUUUGGAACCACGCUUUCAAGCUCCUUUGAGAAGGGAACUAAAUGCUGCCACGUCAGCCCCAUGUAGAUAGCAGUUAUCUCC